rnacentral:rRNA from 1 species
UACGUAGGGCGCAAGCGUUGUCCGGAAUUAUUGGGCGUAAAGAGCUCGUAGGCGGUUUGUCGCGUCUGUCGUGAAAGCUUGGGGCUUAACCCCAAGUCUGCGGUGGAUACGGGCAGACUAGAGGCAGGUAGGGGAGAACGGAAUUCCUGGUGUAGCGGUGAAAUGCGCAGAUAUCAGGAGGAACACCGGUGGCGAAGGCGGGUCUCUGGGCCGAUACUGACGCUGAGGAGCGAAAGCAUGGGGAGCGAACAGG